CCUACGGGAGGCAGCAGUGAGGAAUAUUGGUCAAUGGACGAGAGUCUGAACCAGCCAAGUAGCGUGAAGGAUGACUGCCCUCUGGGUUAUAAACUUCUUUUAUAAAGGAAUAAGACGAGGCUCGUGUGCCUUUUUGCAUGUACGUUAUGAAUAAGGAUAGGAUAACUCCGUGCCAGUCGCCGCGGUAAUCUGGUGGGUCCGCGCGUUAACUGGAUUUAUUGGGUUUAAGGGGAACGUCGCUGGGUUGUUAAGUCAGUUGUGAAAGUUCGCGGCUCAACCGGAAAAUUGCAAUUGAUACUGGCAGGCUAGAGUACAGUAGGGGUAGGCAGAAUUCGUGGUGUAGCGGUGAAAUGCGUAGAGAUCAGGAAGAACCCCGAUGGCGAAGGCAGCUUACUAAACUGUGACUGACAUUGAUGUGCGAAAGCGUGGGGAUCAAACAGGAUUAGAUACCCUAGUAGUC
rnacentral:rRNA from 1 species